GAUGAACGCUAGCGGCAGGCCUAAUACAUGCAAGUCGAGGGGCAGCGGGAGUAGCAAUACUUGCCGGCGACCGGCGCACGGGUGUGUAACACGUAUGUAAUCUACCCUUUACUGGAGAAUAGCCCGAAGAAAUUCGGAUUAAUGCUCCAUAAUAUCACUGGAAGGCAUCUUUUGGUGAUUAAAGUUCCGACGGUAAAGGAUGAGCAUGCGCGAUAUUAGCUAGUUGGUGAGGUAACGGCUCACCAAGGCGACGAUAUCUAGGGGUACUGAGAGGUUACACCCCCACACUGGUACUGAGACACGGACCAGACUCCUACGGGAGGCAGCAGUAAGGAAUAUUGGACAAUGGUCGCAAGACUGAUCCAGCCAUGCCGCGUGCAGGAUGAAUGCCCUAUGGGUUGUAAACUGCUUUUAUACGGGAAUAAACCCGGGUACGUGUACCCGGCUGAAUGUACCGUAAGAAUAAGGGUCGGCUAACUUCGUGCCAGCAGCCGCCGCAGUAA
rnacentral:rRNA from 1 species